rnacentral:rRNA from 1 species
CCUCGGGUGGCUGCAGUGGGGAAUAUUGGACAAUGGGCGAAAGCCUGAUCCAGCCAUGCCGCGUGUGUGAAGAAGGCCUUCGGGUUGUAAAGCACUUUCAGUGGGGAAGAAAGCCUUGGGGCUAAUACCCUCGAGGAAGGACAUCACCCACAGAAGAAGCACCGGCUAACUCCGUGCCAGCAGCCGCGGUAAUACGGAGGGUGCGAGCGUUAAUCGGAAUUACUGGGCGUAAAGCGCGCGUAGGCGGUCUGAUAAGCCGGUUGUGAAAGCCCCGGGCUCAACCUGGGAACGGCAUCCGGAACUGUCAGGCUAGAGUGCAGGAGAGGAAGGUAGAAUUCCCGGUGUAGCGGUGAAAUGCGUAGAGAUCGGGAGGAAUACCAGUGGCGAAGGCGGCCUUCUGGAUUGACACUGACGCUGAGGUGCGAAAGCGUGGGUAGCAAACAGGAUUAGAUACCCCAGUAGUC